CCAGUUUAACUAGCUAUAACAAUAACGUUUAACUCAAUGCAAACGUUAUGUAAGCUAACACUGACAAGCUAACAUUGGCUCUAGCAUGAGCUGGUAACGAAGUCCAACUAAAGUAAACGUACUUCAGCUUACCUAGCACAUACAAUGGUUAGCUACUGAUUAGCUCGACUAAAUUUCGGUCAAACCA